UACGUAGGGGGCAAGCGUUGUCCGGAUUUAUGGGGCGUAAAGAGCGUGUAGGCGGUUUGGUAGGUCCGCUGUGAAAACUCGAGGCUCAACCUCGAGACGCCGGUGGAAACCAUCAGACUAGAGUCCGGAAGAGGAGAGUGGAAUUCCUGGUGUAGCGGUGAAAUGCGCAGAUAUCAGGAAGAACACCCGUGGCUAAGGCGGCUCUCUAGUACGGUACUGACGCUGAGACGCGAAAGCGUGGGGAGCGAACAGG
rnacentral:rRNA from 1 species